AUUAAACUAAUUCCGGAUAACUUUUUCUUAAAUAUAUCUACUUUAAAUCUGUCGGUUUUGGCUUUGGAAAAUAUGAAAAUUGACGGAAAUAUGUUGAAAUUAAGAGAUUUUCCAGAAACUUUAAUCGAAUUGAGUUUAAAAAAGACCUAUGUAACAAAUACGUUCGAAUUGCAAAAAUACUAUCCCGAGCAAUUAAAAAAUUUAAAAGUAUUUAUAUUGGAUCAGUGUUUCUGGGUUAACCUUUCUAUACU